rnacentral:rRNA from 1 species
AGAGUUUGAUUAUGGCUCAGAACGAACGCUGGCGGCAUGCCUAACACAUGCAAGUCGAACGCUUUUGGGGCUUCGGCCUCAAGGGAGUGGCGCACGGGUGAGUAGCGCGUGGGAACCUGCCCUGUUGUGGGGGAUAACCGAGGGAAACUUCGGCUAAUACCGCAUGCGCCCGGGGCAACCUGGGGAAAGAUUUAUCGCAGCAGGAGGGGCCCGCGUCGGAUUAGCUGGUUGGUGGGGUAACGGCCUACCAAGGCACCGAUCCGUAGCUGGUCUGAGAGGAUGAUCAGCCACACUGGGACUGAGACACGGCCCAGACUCCUACGGGAGGCAGCAGUGGGGAAUAUUGGACAAUGGGCGCAAGCCUGAUCCAGCAAUGCCGCGUGAGUGAUGAAGGCCUUAGGGUUGUAAAGCUCUUUCGCCCGCGACGAUGAUGACGGUAGCGGGAGAAGAAGCCCCGGCUAACUUCGUGCCAGCAGCCGCGGUAAUACGAAGGGGGCGAGCGUUGUUCGGAUUUACUGGGCGUAAAGGGCGCGUAGGCGGCCUUCCAAAUCGAGUGUGAAAGCCCCGGGCUCAACCUGGGANNUGCGCUCGAGACUGGUUGGCUGGAGUUCGGGAGAGGAGCGUGGAAUUCCCAGUGUAGAGGUGAAAUUCGUAGAUAUUGGGAAGAACACCAGUGGCGNNNNCGGCGCUCUGGACCGAGACUGACGC